rnacentral:rRNA from 1 species
GACGAACGCUGGCGGCGUGCCUAAUACAUGCAAGUCGAGCGGACUUGACAGAGCUUGCUCUGUUCAAGUUAGCGGCGGACGGGUGAGUAACACGUGGGCAACCUGCCCUGCAGAUUGCGAUAACUCCGGGAAACCGGGGCUAAUACCGAAUAACAUUGGAAACCUCAUGGUUUCCUUUUAAACGGCGGCUUCGGCUGUCACUGCAGGAUGGGCCCGCGGCGCAUUAGCUAGUUGGGGAGGUAACGGCUCACCAAGGCGACGAUGCGGAGCCGACCUGAGAGGGUGAUCGGCCACACUGGGACUGAGACACGGCCCAGACUCCUACGGGAGGCAGCAGUAGGGAAUCUUCCGCAAUGGACGAAAGUCUGACGGAGCAACGCCGCGUGAGUGAAGAAGGUUUUCGGAUCGUAAAACUCUGUUGUCAGGGAAGAACAAGUACGGGAGUAACUGCCCGUACCUUGACGGUACCUGGCCAGAAAGCCACGGCUAACUACGUGCCAGCCGCCGCAGUAAAAC